rnacentral:rRNA from 1 species
AUUGAACGCUGGCGGCAUGCUUUACACAUGCAAGUCGAACGGCAGCGCGGGCUUCGGCCUGGCGGCGAGUGGCGAACGGGUGAGUAAUGCAUCGGAACGUGCCCAGUAUUGGGGGAUAGCCCGGCGAAAGCCGGAUUAAUACCGCAUACGACCUGAGGGUGAAAGCGGGGGACCGAAAGGCCUCGCGCUAUUGGAACGGCCGAUGUCGGAUUAGCUAGUUGGUUGGGUAAAGGCUUACCAAGGCGACGAUCCGUAGCUGGUCUGAGAGGACGACCAGCCACACUGGGACUGAGACACGGCCCAGACUCCUACGGGAGGCAGCAGUGGGGAAUCUUGGGCAAUGGGGGCAAGCCUGAUCCAGCCAUGCCGCGUGCGGGAAGAAGGCCUUCGGGUUUUAAAACGCUUUUGUUCGGGAAGAAAAACUGUGGGCUAAUACCCCCGGGGGAUGACGGUACCGGAAGAAUAAGCACCGGCUAACUACGUG